rnacentral:rRNA from 1 species
AUUGAACGCUGGCGGCAGGCCUAACACAUGCAAGUCGAGCGGAGCGGCGGACGGGUGAGUAAUGCCUAGGAAUCUGCCUGUUAGUGGGGGAUACCGUCCGGAAACGGGCGCUAAUACCGCAUACUAUCAGAUGAGCCUAGGUCGGAUUAGCUAGUUGGUGGGGUAAUGGCUUACCAAGGCGACGAUCCGGACCUGGUCUGAGAGGAUGAUCAGUCACACUGGAACGGAGACACGGUCCAGACUCCUACGGGAGGCAGCAGUGGGGAAUAUUGGACAAUGGGCGAAAGCCUGAUCCAGCCAUGCCGCGUGAGUGAAGAAGGUCUUCGGAUUGUAAAGCACUUUAAGUUGGGAAGCGUUACCAAAAGAAUAAGCACCGGCUAACUUCGUGCCAGCAGCCGCGGUAAUUC